UUAUCAUUUAAACCCAGUUUGAGUUGGGUUUGUGUUUCUAAGAACAGAACACACCUGGUACAAGAAGGCAAGGGCAUUCACUGUAGAUUGAGUUCCAGGAGUUGUGAAAUACACAAGUGUUGUUUGACAGAAGGUGCUUCAAGCUGACCAGAGAAAACUAGCACAAGCUUGACAUCGGACAUUUGAAAGAAGGAAGAGAAGAUAUGGCCAGGCAUGGAAUGAUCCAAGGGAAUGGUCUCUUGGCUCAGAGUGAACGGUGAGUAUAGAAGCUCAGGGACACCCAGGGGGCUGCUCCAUGAAUGGGGCACUUAUGUGAAGCGUGGGCCUGAGAGCUGCCUGAUGGGGGCCUCCCUCCCCUGUGCUGCCAGGUGCCUCAUGCCUCAGUUUGGGGCAAAGAAGACAAAUUAGGCCUCUUUCCUUCCCAAAGGCCCACUGUCACAUGAGUUACCUUCAAGCGUUUUGCAACUCCCAUGUAAUACCUCCAGGAGCUACCUGUUGGUGGGGAGGCAACCCACUGAUGGUUGGAAAACCCAUGCAGCCAUGGUGCUGCCAGUCCAGGUGGGGUGGGUCAUGGCCACAUUGCACUUCAGACACUGCAGGGCACCUGCACCUGAUCCUGACCCUCCCUGCAUACAGGCCCUCACCAGCGAUAGAGGGCAGCAGGGGUCACUGGCUGUAGCUGGGAGGGGGUCCCAAGCAGGGUCCAGGGUGCCAGCAGAGGAGUGGGCAGCUGGGAGCCAAGAACCCAUCUAGGGGAACUGCAUGCAUGCCCCACUGUCCCAUCAGACUUCAC